UCUCCGUUGGUGAACCAGCGGAGGGAUCAUUACCGAGUGCAAACUCAUAACCCUUUGUGAACCUAUAUCUGUUGCUUCGGCGGCUCGCUCUCGGGCGAGCCCGCCGGUAAUAUCAGUAUCUCUGUUUGAACCCGACGAUACUUCUGAGUGUUCUUAGCGAACAGUUAAAACUUUUAACAACGGAUCUCUUGGCUCUAGCAUCGAUGAAGAACGAGC
rnacentral:misc_RNA from 1 species